AGAGUUUGAUCCUGGCUCAGAUUGAACGCUGGCGGCAUGCCUUACACAUGCAAGUCGAACGGUAACAGGUCUUCGGAUGCUGACGAGUGGCGAACGGGUGAGUAAUACAUCGGAACGUGCCCGAGAGUGGGGGAUAACGAAGCGAAAGCUUUGCUAAUACCGCAUACGAUCUCAGGAUGAAAGCAGGGGACCGCAAGGCCUUGCGCUCACGGAGCGGCCGAUGGCAGAUUAGGUAGUUGGUGGGAUAAAAGCUUACCAAGCCGACGAUCUGUAGCUGGUCUGAGAGGACGACCAGCCACACUGGGACUGAGACACGGCCCAGACUCCUACGGGAGGCAGCAGUGGGGAAUUUUGGACAAUGGGCGCAAGCCUGAUCCAGCCAUGCCGCGUGCAGGAUGAAGGCCUUCGGGUUGUAAACUGCUUUUGUACGGAACGAAAAGACUCUGGUUAAUACCUGGGGUCCAUGACGGUACCGUAAGAAUAAGCACCGGCUAACUACGUGCCAGCAGCCGCGGUAAUACGUAGGGUGCGAGCGUUAAUCGGAAUUACUGGGCGUAAAGCGUGCGCAGGCGGUUAUGUAAGACAGAUGUGAAAUCCCCGGGCUCAACCUGGGAACUGCAUUUGUGACUGCAUAGCUAGAGUACGGCAGAGGGGGAUGGAAUUCCGCGUGUAGCAGUGAAAUGCGUAGAUAUGCGGAGGAACACCGAUGGCGAAGGCAAUCCCCUGGGCCUGUACUGACGCUCAUGCACGAAAGCGUGGGAAGCAAACAGGAUUAGAUACCCUGGUAGUCCACGCCCUAA
rnacentral:rRNA from 1 species